ensembl:rRNA 5S_rRNA 5S ribosomal RNA
GCUUAUGGCCAUACCACCCUGAGCAAGCCUGAUCUCGUUUGGUCUGGGAAGCUGAGCAGGGUCGGGCCAGGUUAGUACUUAGAUGGGAGACUGCCUGGGAAUCCCAGGUGCUGUAAGCU